CGUAGCAAUACGUCAGUGGCAGACGGGUGAGUAACGCGUGGGAACGUACCUUUUGGUUCGGAACAACUGAGGGAAACUUCAGCUAAUACCGGAUAAGCCCUUACGGGGAAAGAUUUAUCGCCGAAAGAUCGGCCCGCGUCUGAUUAGCUAGUUGGUGAGGUAAUGGCUCACCAAGGCGACGAUCAGUAGCUGGUCUGAGAGGAUGAUCAGCCACAUUGGGACUGAGACACGGCCCAAACUCCUACGGGAGGCAGCAGUGGGGAAUAUUGGACAAUGGGGGCAACCCUGAUCCAGCCAUGCCGCGUGAGUGAUGAAGGCCCUAGGGUUGUAAAGCUCUUUUGUGCGGGAAGAUAAUGACGGUACCGCAAGAAUAAGCCCCGGCUAACUUCGUGCCAGCAGCCGCGGUAAUACGAAGGGGGCUAGCGUUGCUCGGAAUCACUGGGCGUAAAGGGUGCGUAGGCGGGUUUCUAAGUCAGAGGUGAAAGCCUGGAGCUCAACUCCAGAACUGCCUUUGAUACUGGAAGUCUUGAGUAUGG
rnacentral:rRNA from 1 species